CAUGGCUCAGAAUGAACGCUGGCGGCAGGCCUAACACAUGCAAGUCGAACGAAGUCUUCGGACUUAGUGGCGGACGGGUGAGUAACGCGUGGGAACAUACCCAAAGGUACGGAAUAGCCUCGGGAAACUGGGAGUAAUACCGUAUGUGCCCUUCGGGGAAAGAUUUAUCGCCUUUGGAUUGGCCCGCGUUGGAUUAGGUAGUUGGUGGGGUAAUGGCCUACCAAGCCGACGAUCCAUAGCUGGUUUGAGAGGAUGAUCAGCCACACUGGGACUGAGACACGGCCCAGACUCCUACGGGAGGCAGCAGUGGGGAAUCUUAGACAAUGGGCGCAAGCCUGAUCUAGCCAUGCCGCGUGAUCGAUGAAGGCCUUAGGGUUGUAAAGAUCUUUCAGAUGGGAAGAUAAUGACGGUACCAUCAGAAGAAGCCCCGGCUAACUCCGUG
rnacentral:rRNA from 1 species